AUUGAACGCUGGCGGCAGGCCUAACACAUGCAAGUCGAACGAGGGGCGGACGGGUGAGUAAUGUCUGGGAAACUGCGUGAUGGAGGGGGAUAACUACUGGAAACGGUAGCUAAUACCGCAUACCAUCGGAUGUGCCCAGAUGGGAUUAGCUAGUAGGUGGGGUAAAGGCUCACCUAGGCGACGAUCCCUAGCUGGUCUGAGAGGAUGACCAGCCACACUGGGACUGAGACACGGUCCAGACUCCUACGUGAGGCAGCAGUGGGGAAUAUUGCACAAUGGGCGCAAGCCUGAUGCAGCCAUGCCGCGUGUAUGAAGAAGGCCCUAGGGUUGUAAAGUACUUUCAGCCGGGAGGCGUUACCGACAGAAGAAGCACCGGCUAACUCCGUGCCAGCAGCCGCGGUAAUUC
rnacentral:rRNA from 1 species